GCAUUAAAAGGUACUGGAUAAUUAGAAUGAUACAGAGGAGAUUAGCAUGGCCCCUGCGCAAGGAUGACACAUAAAUUCGUGAAGCGUUCCAUAUGUUU
rnacentral:snRNA from 1 species